rnacentral:rRNA from 1 species
CCAGACAGCCAGGAUGUUGGCUUAGAAGCAGCCAUCAUUUAAAGAAAGCGUAAUAGCUCACUGGUCGAGUCGGCCUGCGCGGAAGAUGUAACGGGGCUAAACCAUGCACCGAAGCUGCGGCAGCGACGCUUAUGCGUUGUUGGGUAGGGGAGCGUUCUGUAAGCCUGUGAAGGUGUGCUGUGAGGCAUGCUGGAGGUAUCAGAAGUGCGAAUGCUGACAUAAGUAACGAUAAAGCGGGUGAAAAGCCCGCUCGCCGGAAGACCAAGGGUUCCUGUCCAACGUUAAUCGGGGCAGGGUGAGUCGACCCCUAAGG